CCGUGCUGCAUGGGCGGAGCCUGAUGCAGCACGCCGCGUGAGGGAUGACGGCCUUCGGGUUGUAAACCUCUUUUAGCAGGGAAGAAGCGAAAGUGACGGUACCUGCAGAAAAAGCGCCGGCUAACUACGUGCCAGCAGCCGCGGUAAUACGUAGGGCGCAAGCGUUAUCCGGAAUUAUUGGGCGUAAAGAGCUCGUAGGCGGUUUGUCGCGUCUGCUGUGAAAACCCGAGGCUCAACCUCGGGCCUGCAGUGGGUACGGGCAGACUAGAGUGCGGUAGGGGAGAUUGGAAUUCCUGGUGUAGCGGUGGAAUGCGCAGAUAUCAGGAGGAACACCGAUGGCGAAGGCAGAUCUCUGGGCCGUAACUGACGCUGAGGAGCGAAAGGGUGGGGAGCAAACAGGCUUAGAUACCCUGGUAGUCCACCCCGUAAACGUUGGGAACUAGUUGUGGGGUCCAUUCCACGGAUUCCGUGACGCAGCUAACGCAUUAAGUUCCCCGCCUGGGGAGUACGGCCGCAAGGCUAAAACUCAAAGGAAUUGACGGGGACCCGCACAAGCGGCGGAGCAUGCGGAUUAAUUCGAUGCAACGCGAAGAACCUUACCAAGGCUUGACAUACACGAGAACGCUGCAGAAAUGUAGAACUCUUUGGACACUCGUGAACAGGUGGUGCAUGGUUGUCGUCAGCUCGUGUCGUGAGAUGUUGGGUUAAGUCCCGCAACGAGCGCAACCCUCGUUCUAUGUUGCCAGCACGUAAUGGUGGGAACUCAUGGGAUACUGCCGGGGUCAACUCGGAGGAAGGUGGGGAUGACGUCAAAUCAUCAUGCCCCUUAUGUCUUGGGCUUCACGCAUGCUACAAUGGCCGGUACAAAGGGCUGCAAUACCGCGAGGUGGAGCGAAUCCCAAAAAGCCGGUCCCAGUUCGGAUUGAGGUCUGCAACUCGACCUCAUGAAGUCGGAGUCGCUAGUAAUCGCAGAUCAGCAACGCUGCGGUGAAUACGUUCCCGGGUCUUGUACACACCGCCCGUCAAGUCAUGAAAGUCGGUAACACCUGAGCCGUGGCCCAACCCUUGUGAGGGAGCGUCGAAGUGGGAUCGGUAAUUAGACUAGUCUAUA
rnacentral:rRNA from 1 species